UAGCGGCGAGUGAAGCGGCAAAAGCUCAAAUUUGAAAUCUGGCUCUUUCAGAGUCCGAGUUGUAAUUUGAAGAAGGUAUCUUUGGGUCUGGCUCUUGUCUAUGUUUCUUGGAACAGAACGUCACAGAGGGUGAGAAUCCCGUGCGAUGAGAUGAUCCAGGCCUAUGUAAAGUUCCUUCGAAGAGUCGAGUUGUUUGGGAAUGCAGCUCUAAGUGGGUGGUAAAUUCCAUCUAAAGCUAAAUAUUGGCGAGAGACCGAUAGCGAACAAGUACAGUGAUGGAAAGAUGAAAAGAACUUUGAAAAGAGAGUGAAAAAGUACGUGAAAUUGUUGAAAGGGAAGGGCUUGAGAUCAGACUUGGUAUUUUGUAUGUUACUUCUUCGGGGGUGGCCUCUACAGUUUAUCGGGCCAGCAUCAGUUUGGGCGGUAGGAGAAUUGCGUUGGAAUGUGGCACGGCUUCGGUUGUGUGUUAUAGCCUUCGUCGAUACUGCCAGCCUAGACUGAGGACUGCGGUUUAUACCUAGGAUGUUGGCAUAAUGAUCUUAAGUCGCCCGUCUUGAAACAACGGACCCA
rnacentral:rRNA from 1 species